GCUAACAACAACGACAGGAUCGUGGUCAGGGUAUUCUCAAAGCCUUUGUGAAUGGACUGAAGGUGACAAUUGCUCCCAGGAUGACUGGAUUUGGGGUAUGUCUGACACGUGGGAGUUAUAGAGGAGGGUGACAUUGCAACUGUGAUGCCUUAUCUAACUGCCGGUUUCUAUUAUUUUCUUUCAUGUUCCCUCUGCCUCCUGGAAGACCCGGAAGUCUUUCUUCACCACUGCACCGAAAUUCAACAAUCUGAUAGACUUAUCUAUCAUCAGGUUAAGAAUGAUGGACUCAUUGAACUGUUGGCUUCAUAAACAGGUACUCAUUAAUCAAAUGAAGUUUUGCCUUACAAAGUCUAAAUAUAUACAAUGACAUUUGGUGACAU
rnacentral:lncRNA from 1 species